AAUAUUGAAAAUGUAUUUGGCUUAGCUUAGUCGGUGAUAAAUCCUUAACUUUCUUAAUCUCCUUUAUAUUGUUCUCCGUGGGAUAGACCCUGACUCAUAGUUGGGUAAAUUGUAUUGCAACGACUGUGUACACUUUCUUUUUGGAGAGUGGAUUUGGACGUUAUCAAAAGUCUCUAACGUCUUUGAUCUGCAUUCUGUAUGUUCUCCUAUCGUUUGUUGUACAAGUAAAAAAAAAAUCUCAUUCUGCUAGUAGAAAUGGAAAAAUAUCAACACCGAUGAUGAUUCUAUUACUGAACUCUCCAACAACUGUCUAAUAUUAUGACAUAUUACAAGUUUUGGAUUACCUUUUUUUUUUUUUUUUUUUACAUAUUUCAAAAUGAAGUUGAUUUAUUUCCUGUUUAUGUGAGAUUGCAAUUGCAUUGAACUAGAGCAAUUAUGCUGAUUUGUCUACAUUUUUUUGGAUUCGUGUCUUUCUAUAACUCAUGUUUUUGAAGGUUGAUUUUCUUGGACUUUGCAGGUGUGCAUUUUCUACUUGGUCCGUCAAGCACUUAACACAGGAUGAUACCAUCAUUCUCACCAAGGUUAAAGUACCUCUGCUGGUGUUUUUCCAUCAGCAUGUUUAUGAUCAUGAAUGCAUUUUUCAUGGAAGUGUACGAAUAGAAUCUGCUAGACUCCCUCAGUAUUUGGUUCCAUUUUCCUUAUUACUUGCCAGCAGAUUGGUCUCUAUCUUGUGAAAAAGGUAUGAUAAUAGGAGGCGAAGAGCUUUAUUCAUGCUAUAGUUUUCAUUAUGCUUAAGAAACUUUGCACACUUCUCUUCUUAGAAACUCUGUUAUUAGAUUUUAAGUGUUAAGUAUUAUAGGAAAUU